GGGCUCACCAUGCGGGCACAGGAGGUUUGGGGAAGGCCCCGGGCACUACCCUGCUAAUGAGCGACGUGUCCCCAGUCCCGCCCGGCCUCCUCGGGGCAGGCAGGCACACCAAGGCUUCAGGACUGUGGGGUUCAGUCCUCACCCCCGCCCCGCAAACAGGCUGGAGGUGGACUUGGCAUGGUGUGGCCUGGGCAGCCUGAUCCCAAAGUAAAACAUUCGGCUUCCGGGGCUGCUGCCUUGAAAGGCAAAUAUCACCUCUGUUUCCAAAACUCGCCUCUUUGGGCCGGGAGGCGUCUGUGCAGGAUCCCUGGGCCGGGUAACUGUCCCGUCCUCCCACAUCCACUGUGCCCGUCCCCCGAUGAGCCAGGCCAGGGCAUCUCAUCUGCUGCUGCUGCGUGGAGGACCCCAGAAGUCAGGGCGUGGCCCCCACUGCCCGUGUUAUGGGUGAAGAAAUGCAGGCUCAGACCCAGAGGCCCUGGAGGACCUUGGAAAAGGCUGGUUCUAGGGGUCAGCCUGGGCUCCCUGGGGUCUGCCCAAGGACCCCAGGCUCUCAGGAGGGGCCCUAUGGGAGACCAGGGAGGGACACAGCGGCCUACUUGGAGGGUGUUUCCAGAGCCGUGUCCCCACCCCUCAUCCUCACAGUCAGAACCCGCAAGAAACUGAUGCCCAGGCUACGGCGAGGCUGGGACGUGGGGCCUGGUCACCACGGGUGAGGCUAGAACACGUGGACGGAGAGCCACGCACCUCGGCAGGGGCCCCCCAGGACCCAGAGCCCGGCGACACUGAUGGCUCCCAUGGACAGCAGUGGGGAUGGGGGUGUCCUGGGGACACGGGGGCCGCCUGGGGCGCCUCUCAUCCCAUCGUCUUCCUUCCUGCGCUCUCCCAAGUCCUUAUCAACACCUCCUCUAUUGUCUUGUCCGGUCCCUCCCCCCACCUGAAUCGGGCCAUUCCGGAGCGUUCCCUGCACCCUGCCCAGCCGUUCUCGCAUUCAGAAGCCUUCCUGGACUGGGAGAACUGUGGUGCUCUAGUGAGCGGCAACUCCAAGGGUCCUGGUGACGUUCUCAUGCUGGAUGCUCAGAUGUUCCGCCGAAGAGGGCCUGGUGCUGCUGCCCACCCGAGACUGGAAGAUGUGGCUUCCUCCUAAUCAGCAAGACCCAUAUGGAGACACACCACCCUAACUGCAGAACUGCCCGGACCCCCACACGCACCUGUGCCUUCUCCAGGCUGGAGGGAGGGGCUUCUGGAGGGUCAUGCCUGCUGUGCAGGGUCCCUCAGGGGCAUCUGUCCCAGGCUGGCCUCAGGAAGGGUCCUGGGCAUCGAGGGGCCCUACAGGCUGUCUCCCGACCCUGGGCUGAGCCACUGCCCCUGCCAACCUCCUGGGCAAAACGAGGGGGUCCUGGGAGGGCACCUGGGCCCUGCAGUAGGGAACGGGGGUCCAUCAGGGUGAUCCCCACAGCCCCCAGCUGCCUCUGCUCCGGGUUCCAGUGGACACCUGAGAUUCCGGGGCUAAGCCUGGAUGCAGUGGACGUCAGACCCCGCCCCAGCUCCAUCCACACGGGAGGGUGGUGCGUCCCCACCUCAGUAGAGGGCACAGAGGCUCAGGAUCUGAGAACCAACCACUGCCUGGGCCCAGCACAGGCCCUCACCCCCCACCCUACAGACGGGGCCACAGGGUCUCAGGAGGACAGGGCCGGGCGCCUCCUCGAUCAGGGGACACAGGGCUCUCGGGGCUGAGAAGGCCACUUCGAUCGCUUUGGGAGGAGGAGGGAAACGCUGGACUCUGUGCCCCGUCCAGGUGGGACGACAGCAGGGGGCCUCGGACUGCAGUGGGGGCUGGAGGUGGGACGACAGCAGAGGGCCUCAGACUGCAGUGGGGGCUACAGGAGGGCGCCCAGGGCCGUGGAAGUUAAGGGAGGGGAGGCCCUGGUGUGGUGGGGCUUCUGCUGGGCCCUGGAGCUUCGGUUGGGCCUGGAGCUCGGCUCUGUCCCUGGAGCUGGGUGGCGCGGGGUCUCUGUCCAGCUUUAUCUGUGGGAAGCAGAGCUGAGGAACGGCCCCUCCCCGAGCCUGCUGAGCUUGCUGGUGGCCUGUCCCAAGAAAGCUGGAGCAGCCCUGCACCCUUCAUGUCCGCCUCCUCCUGAAGAUGGGGUGGCCCCGUCUGCACUGGCCUCAGGCCACCCCCUGCACAGGGAGCUCAGGCUACCCUGUGCCUUUGCCCUCGCCAUCCCCUCCCCAUGCAGCCCAUUCCCCCUCCUCGGGGACCUUCGGGCACCUUCCCCAGGGCCUCCGCUACCUGGCUCAGGACGGCCCCACCCCCAAUGCCUGGCCGCCUCCUUCCCUGCCCUGAACCAGUCCCUGGGGUCUGUCACCAGAUUUACGUCCCCAGCUCUCUCCUGCAGGGCUUUCUGCCUACUCUGUCCCCACAGUGUCUUCACCAUCCAGACUGGCUGCAGAGGGGCCCG